GACCAGACUCCUACGGGAGGCAGCAGUGAGGAAUAUUGGUCAAUGGCCGAGAGGCUGAACCAGCCAAGUCGCGUGAGGGAUGACGGCCCUACGGGUUGUAAACCUCUUUUGUCGGGGAGCAAAGAGAGUCACGUGUGACUCAUUGAGAGUACCCGAAGAACAAGCAUCGGCUAACUCCGUGCCAGCCGCCGCGGUAAUACGGAGGAUGCGAGCGUUAUCCGGAUUUAUUGGGUUUAAAGGGUGCGCAGGCGGAGAUGCAAGUCAGCGGUCAAAUUGCGGGGCUCAACCGCGUACUGCCGUUGAAACUGCAUCCCUUGAGUGCGCGAGAAGUAUGCGUAAUGCGUGGUGUAGCGGUGAAAUGCAUAGAUAUCACGCAGAACUCCGAUUGCGGAGGCAGCAUGCCGGCUCCACACUGACGCUGAGGCACGAAAGCGUGGGUAUCGAACAGGAUUAGAUACCCGCGUACC
rnacentral:rRNA from 1 species